rnacentral:rRNA from 1 species
CCCUUAGAUGUUCGGGGCCGCACGCGCGCUACACUGAAGGACUCAGCGUGUCUCUCCCCCUAUCCCGAAAGGGAUGGGCAACCCGUUGAACCUCUUUCGUGCUAGGGAUUGGGGUUUGCAAUUAUCCCCCAUGAACGAGGAAUUCCCAGUAAGCGCGAGUCAUCAGCUCGCGUUGAUUACGUCCCUGCCCUUUGUACACACCGCCCGUCGCUACUACCGAUUGGAUGGUUUAGUGAGACCCUCGGAUCGGUCCCGACUCGGGGUGGGCUUCUGCCCCGGUCGUGGUUUCGCCGAGAAGACGGUCAAACUUGACUAUCUAGAGGAAGUAAAAGUCGUAACA